GGCAUUUCGGUCAUUGUCUUUCUUGAGCUUUUCCAUACGUGGCCACCCUGUGCUCGCUCCAUUCCAGAUGGCUUUUACUCCAACAAACAUAUCAUCAGUCUAGAACAUUCAAUUGUUGUUUCAUCUCUUUGUUUCUUGAUUCCUCUCAAAAACCCUCCUCUUUCAAUUUUUGUGCAAAUCUUCAUCUUCUUUACUUUCCUUGUUUUUUUGGGUUCUCUUCAGAUUUCCAAUUUCAUAGCUAUCAUUGUUCCGUCUUUUGGAACUCCAGCUUUGCUCCAUCAAGGAGAUAUGCAGGGCCUGUUAUCACAAGGAUUCAGAACAAAUGACUGGUUUGGAGAGCGUAAUAGCUAAGUCAGGAAUUCUAGGUUGGGACAAAAAAAAAACCCUUUUCACGGACUUUUACACCCUGUUUCCUGUUAUCUUAGGGUAAUUUUUUAAGCCAAAGUUAAUGUUCCGUGUUAAUGAAUUUAGAUGCUUUCUUCAUUUUGUAGGAAACAUUGGUAGUAAUAUCUCACUUUACUAAGCACUAAAGAAUUGUAUAAAUUUCACUUUUUUCAUUAGUAUUAUUGAACUAUUAAUAGAUUAUUGAUGAAACAUGGGAGGUCAUUUCAACUGCUGUAGUGGGAAUGCUAAUCUUUGUUCCUAAAAAUCCAAGCAAAUGCAGCUCAAAGUGCACAAGACAAGGGAGGAAAACAAACCAUUUUGUUCCACCAUAUCAACGACUUCCGUUUUACAGUUGCAUAUCUUUGUGAUUUGCAAUGUGUAGUAUAAAUUUAAAGCCUCUUACUUGAAGCAGGAUGCUAUUUGUAGUGUUGAGUUUAAAGUACCUAAUCUAAAGUGUGAUUUCUAAUUGUUUGUCUUUUCACGUACAUGGGAAAAGUAUGAAUGACAUCUCCUGUUCUGUG